CCAUCCAUCUCGUUCAUUUUAUCCUUUUUACUUAUUUUUUUUUUUUUUUAAUACUUGGUUCUACAUUUUUGUAUCAUCUUUCAUUAGCCUUAUUUUAUUUUUUUUUUUUUGAGCCAUUUAUGUUUUUGAAUAUAGGCAUAUUCGAACACAAUUAGUGUUGACAAAUAAAUUUAUCAUUAUUUUUUAUUUUUUUGUACUCACAUAUAACAAAAGAUAUAAAUAUAUACAUACGUAUUUGAGCAUAUAGCUUUAAAAAUAAAAGGAGAUAAAUAAAAUGGAUAUACGUACCAAUUUAAAGGCACGAAUAUACUUCUGUUAAUAAUUUUUAACGGAUAUUCUAGCAAUCCAAAAAAAAAAAAAAAAAAAAAAAAAAAAAUUAUGAAGAAUUCGCAUGUAAGUGUUAGCCAAUCCGUUGAUAGCAACAAGAGUUUUCAAAAACAAACAAACAACAAUGAAAGAGUCGAAAUUGGAAUAAAAAAAAAGAAAAGAAAAAUAAACAAUAACAAUGGCAUAAAAACGAAAACGAGAAUGAAAAAGAGAACGAAUAGCAUAGGAACAAAUGGUAUAACAGUAGAAAAAAGAAGUGAUAACCUGAAUACAGAGGGAAACUUAUUUAGUAGUGGUAGUGGUAAAGGUAGUGAUAGUGAUAAAGGUAGUGAUAGUGGUAGUGGUAGUGGUAGGAGUAGUAACAGUGGUAAUAGUAGUGGUAGUGCUAGUGCUAUUGAUAGUGACAGUAAUAGUGGUAGUGAUGAAAACAAUAACAUAUCAGAGAGUGACACUCAUAGCGAAAAAGGAAGUCAUGAAAAUUUUAAUCAUACUACCAACAAUAUAAAUAUAAUUGAAUAUAAUACAAUAAACAGUUUUGUCAAAGAUUCGAAUACCAUUUAUAGUAAAAAAGAAACAAACGAUAAAAGUUACAAUAGGAAUAGCAGUAAUAAUAUACACAACGACAAGCGCAGUGACAUACAGAAUACACAAGACAUACCAAACAUGCAUGAUAUACCCAGCAUGCAAGAUAUGGUUAGUACUAUAAGAAGUGACAAACUAAUAAACUCAUUAAACGAAGAAUCAAGUAUUAAUUUAAACGAUUUGGCCAUAUUAAAAGAUAUAAACAUUGACAGUUUUCAUGGUACAACAGGUAAACUGAUGAAAUUAAAAAUCCGUAAUUUUUUAAAUCAUGAAAAUUUAGAGUUAACAUUUAAUUCAUUUAAAAAUGUGAUAAUUGGUAAAAAUGGGACAGGUAAAAGUGCCAUAGCACAAGCUGUUGCUGUAGCAUUAGGAAGUCAAGGAAAGAAUGCAGGUAGAGACAUAAGCCUUUCUAAUUAUAUAAAAGAUUAUAAUAAAAAUAAAAAGAAUUUAAUUUGUUAUAUAGAAAUAUUUAUUUCAAAUUCAGGAAAACAUGCAUUUAAUAGACAUAUAUAUGGUGAUGUUAUUAUUAUCAAAAGAAUUAUAUCAUCUCAUGCAAGUAAAUUUUUUAUGUAUGGAAUAAAUCAAAUAUUAUGUUCUAAUGCUUUGGGAAAAGCGAUUAAUUUGAACCCUAUUUCGGGUUCAGUUACUCCUAUGCCGAGGAGGAUGGAUAAUCAUACAUUCAGUGUUAGUAAGCAUGUAGGAAGCGUGAGUAAGAAUGUAGGUAGUGCUAGUAAGAAUGUAGGUAGUGUUAGUAAGAAUGUAGGUAGUGUUAGUAAGAAUGUAGGUAGUGUGAAUAAGCAUUACAGUUUGGAUGGGCAGAGAAAUGUAGAUAACUAUACUAGUUAUGACAUGCAAGAAAGUUAUGGCAUGCUGGAAAGUUAUGACCUGCAGGAAAGUUAUGAUAAACAAGCCAGUUAUGAUUUAAGCGUAAGAAGGGAAGAGUCAUUAAAUUACAGUCUUACCGACAUGCAAAUAGAUGAAAGUAAAUAUGUCGAUACAUAUGAACAGUCAUAUGCAUCAAUGGAUAAACGAGAAGGAUAUUAUAACAGCAUAAGUAAAAUGCAGAGUUCAGAUUUUUUGCAUAAUCAUGACAAAGAUAGAUGUGAAGGAGGUGAAAAUAUAUCAGAACAACAUAUACAUAGGAAGACUCGAAGAAGAUCGUUUAUUGA
ensembl:lncRNA